GGAAGUAAAAGUCGUAGCAAGGUUUCCGUAGGUGAACCUGCGGAAGGAUCAUUAUUGUAUAACCGAGGUGCGAGGGCUGUCGCUGACCCGAAAGGUCGUGCACGCCCGAGUGCCCUCACACACAUCCAUCUCACCCCUAUGUGCACCACCGCGUGGGUCCCCCUUUGGCUUGUUCGGAGGGGGGCUUACGUUUUCACACAAACUUUGUAUGCAGUGUAGAAUGUAUUUUUUGUUUUUGCGAUCACGCAAUCAAUUCAACUUUCAACAACGGAUCUCUUGGCUCUC
rnacentral:misc_RNA from 1 species